GUGCUAGUUUCAGCAGCACACAAACUAAGAUUGGAACAAUACAGAGAAGAUUAGCAUGGCCCCCGUGCAAGGAUGACAUGCAAACUCAUGACAUGUUCCAUAUUUUU
ensembl:snRNA U6 spliceosomal RNA